rnacentral:rRNA from 1 species
GAUGAACGCUGGCGGCGUGCCUAAUACAUGCAAGUCGAACGAGGUGCUUGAGUAGCAAUACAAGAGUAUCCUAGUGGCGAACGGGUGAGUAACGCGUGGGUGACCUGCCCCGAAGUGUGGGAUAACAGUCCGAAAGGAUUGCUAAUACCUCAUGUGGAUAUCGGAUUUAGAAACUGAUAACUAAAGCAGCAAUGCGCUUUGGGAGGGACCUGCGUCCCAUCAGCUAGUUGGUGAGGUAAUGGCUCACCAAGGCUACGACGGGUAGGGGACCUGAGAGGGUGGCCCCCCACAAUGGAACUGAAACACGGUCCAUACACCUACGGGUGGCAGCAGUAGGGAAUAUUGCACAAUGGGCGAAAGCCUGAUGCAGCAACGCCGCGUGUGCGAUGAAGGCCUUGGUCGUAAGCACUUUCUGAGAGAUGAGAAAGGACAGUAUCUCAGGAAUAAGUACUCGGCUAACUACGUGCCAGCAGCCG